GACCAUCUCGCCACCCCCCGCUCUCUGUUUUCUCUAUUUUUCCUAGAAGAGACUCUAUUCCUUAAAUAGAUAUAGAAAGGGUAGAGACAAAUCCCCUGAGACAGGGUUUCAGGUAUGAAAAAUCAAUUCAUAGACCUGGUUAACAAUUAUUAACUUAUUUUCUUGGUAAUCAAAGAUCCUGCUGCAGGGUCUUGGUUCAUCUUAAACGCACCUGCUGUUCCUACCACAGUUCAUCUCUUGAUUUUUCCCUGUACGCUGAAAUGCAGCUCUAAUUUGUGGACACUUGAUGAGGAGGUGAGCUAAUUGUUCCCUACCUUGUAUUACUUCAUUGGUGGUAGGAGGAAUUUAAUGCGGAGUGAGUGGGACCCAGUUAGGAGAUUUUAAUAGCCCUUGGUGAUCCAAGCAACAAGAUCCACCUUGGUCUGGUUAAACUUUCACCUCCAUGAAUCAAAUCUAUCUCCAUCUCCACAAAUCCAAAUCUCCAUCUCAACAGGGAGGACCAAGGGCAGAAGCUCAUUGCCCCUGGGAAACAGCAAGGUUAGGUUAGUUUUAUUUACAGAGAAAACAACUCAAAUUCCCAGCUGGGGUAGGGACCCAUCCCAAUUAUAGCAGAUGCAUAUGGAAGAAAUGCAAGAAUAUUUCUAGAACCUUCAGAGAAAUCUCUUUCUGAACUGGUUAAGGUGGGAGGUGGGGGAGAUUUAGACACAAAGAGCAAUGUUACAGAUUAAUAUUAGACAUCAAACAAUAUAGUAUUAAUAUUAAUUUUCCUCAGGGAUUUAUAGAGUAUCAAUUCCCUCAUUUAUUAGAUGAGAACACUGAGGUUCAGAGAGAUCCUGACUCCCAGUUCAGUGUACCACACAUCACACAGUAGCUGACACCCAUAUAAAUAUGUCUUUAAUUGAAAUAUGAAAAUUAGAUGUGAGCCACUCUACCUUAGAAUUCAGGAAAAAGGAAAUAAAAAUCUUUGUUUGGUCUAACAUGAAAGUUAGAUUUUUUAAAAAUCUUAUUUUAUUUUAUUUUCAGUUCCAAAUUCUCUUCCUCCCACUUGCCUCUCACUCAUCCACUGAGAAGGAAGAAAAUUGGAAUAAUAAGAUGGAUGUGAAAUGUCAGUUACUCCAUUUACCUGGUAUGGAACAAUAAAAUGUGCAUGUAAUACACAUAGCAUGUAUAUAUACUAUAUAUAAUAAUAUAGCCUCAUAAUAAAAAAUUAUGAAAUCUUUAAGUACUGGAGGAA
rnacentral:lncRNA from 1 species